GGGUUAAUCAAUUACUCUUGCUCUUUUAAUCCGUAUGCUCUUCCCCCAUGCAGGUGGUGUAGAUGGCUAUGGUUAUAUGCCUGUUUGUUUGUCUUGUUUGGGUUUUUUGAUUGUUUGGUUUUUUAAGACAAAUUUCUUAUUGUUUUAUUGUCAGUAUGGGGUGUUCUCAGCAGGUAAGAGCUGGCUUAGGUUGGGUCUUCAGGUCACAUCAAUGCCAAGGUAAAAGCUCAUAGACUCAGGUAGUGUUCAUUCUUCUAAGCAAGUCAUAUUACAGUUAGUGCCUUGGCUUUCAUACCAAUCAUCACAAAACAGCAUUAGACUAAUUGUUAGUGUAUGAUCAAGCAAUUGGACAGAGCUGCAGAUUAUUUAAACAUGUGCGUGCAGGAGCAGAGCUGGCGAUUCAGCGUGGCUUAUCACUAUUAGAGUCUAAUACCUAAACAGGUAUUUCUCCAUACGUUCUGGACCCCCCCAGCGAUAUCCCGAUACCGCAGGGAGGCAGCAGCCCACAGGAGCCCAAGAGCGGCUCCAAGCUCCCUGCUCUGCGUCCUUAAAGGCGCGACCUCGCGUUUGCCGCUGCAGCGCCCCACAACGGCCACCGCGUACCACAAUGAUCGCGCUGCCGCAGCCUCCAUAGCGCCCGUUCCGGGUCUCCCGCCCUAAACACAUCUCGGUCAUGGCAGUAGCACGUCCCGGUGGCGAUUUUCCCCCGCUCCUCCCGUUGCUAUGUGCAGUCCUCAACUAAUCCCCGCCUCUAGAGACGGAGUUGCAGCAGAAGCCCUCUGCGAUAGGGCACAAAUCCACACAGGCAAUGAAAUCUCCGUGCCUUCUGUGCGCUUUCUAUCAUCUCUUCUGCAUGACAAGCACCGAAUACCCGAGCGGUGGCUGACCCUUUAAACCCCACACGUGACGCGCCGCGUCCAGAGCCAAGUGCGCCAGAGUUGGUUCACCGAGCGCCCAAACGGCGAAACAAAAACGCGCGCCAAGCUACAACAGAUGAACAAGCCCCUCCUCACUCGCCCGCCCACCGUGGCAGGCCAAUCAACAGCCAAGCUGUGCCUCCUCAGAGGAAAUGAGUUUUAGUGAGGCAAAACACCCCCAGCAGUCCACUAGCCCAGUCAGUUUCAAAUUCUACCGGUCGGCUUGGUGCCUGGCCCAUAGAGCGACAGAAGUGAAGCCGAGUUCCGGUCUGUUCCCGCCCACAGGGCAAAGUGGUUGGUGAGCGGGAACUGUUGCUCCGUGACGUCAGCGCCUGUUUCGGUGAUCGGUUACGCCCAGGCGCGAAAUGUAACGCGGGAAAAUCUCGGGUUCGGCCUGGGUUGUGCAAGAGUAGCUCUUCCUCAAGAGUCACCAGGACUGGGACUACAAGUGGGGACCAGCGCCGCUUCAGAAAGGUGUGGGGAGACUGUAGCCGUCACAGAUUUUGCGACGGUGGUAGCUGGGAAAGGGGGGUGAGGCCCCGAGAGGAGUCGCCAUCCCUGGCGAUAAACAGCUGGGGAGUGACAAAUGGUGGUGAUUGCAGGAUUUCUAUGCCUUCCCUGCCCUGGGACGUAGACUGGGAAAGGGGAGCUGAGCCGUUGUGGAGCUUCCCCGCUCCCUCUUCUGCGCUGGUGUCUGCGAAGUGGUGGCGAUGGUGGAGAGACCACCGUCGGGUCCCUUGGUGACUUUUUGCCAGGACUCCCCGAAGCGCGUCCUGGUUUCCGUUAUCAAAACCACCUCGAUCAAACCGCUCUCCCGAGGGAGAGAUGAGAAGCCAGCACUCCCCCCGGUCGUCCCCAUCAGCCCCGGCUUCAGCGACUUCAUGGUUUACCCCUGGCGCUGGGGAGAGAACGCCCACAAUGUGACUUUUAGCCCGGGUGGCUCCGCCACCCCUUCAUUCGUCCAACAGCCUCACGGGGGGCCAGCCAGAGCCUGCAGCGGGGAAGAAGAGGCGGGUAGCCCAGGCACCAGUAGCAGCGGCAGCCACCUCAAGGAUGGGAUAAGACGUGGCCGACCAAGAGCAGACACAGUUCGUGACCUAAUAAAUGAAGGAGAGCAUUCCUCUAGCAGAAUACGUUGCAAUAUCUGCAACAGGGUGUUUCCACGAGAGAAAUCACUACAGGCACACAAACGAAUUCAUACUGGUGAAAGACCUUAUUUGUGUGACUACCCAGACUGUGGGAAAGCCUUUGUUCAGAGUGGGCAACUCAAAACUCACCAGCGUCUUCACACAGGAGAAAAGCCUUUUGUCUGUUCAGAGAAUGGCUGUUUAAGCAGAUUCACACAUGCAAACCGUCAUUGCCCCAAACACCCAAAUGCCCGGCUGAAGAGGGAAGAACUCACAGUUAGACUGAUUAAAAAACAGACAUCUGACAAUAAAGCUGCAGCUGAGUGGCUAGCAAAAUACUGGGAGUCUAGAGAACAGCGUGCUCCCACUUUGAAAAGUAAAACAAUCCAGAAAAUGGAUCAGGAACAGAAGGACCCAAUGGGAUAUCUUCAAUCUGAUGAAGAGGAUGACGAAGAGAAAAAUAGCGGUGGCUGGAACCACACAUCUUGCUUUCCCACAUCUUACUUUCCAACACUGGCUGGAGACGGCGCGGCUGGACUGUGACCUGGAUGUAGUCUGCAGGCUGCGUGCCUCCCUAUUGAUUGCUACGGAAGCGAAGGAAGAGGAAUAGAUUGGACAUCAUUGCAAUGGACACCCAAAGAGGCACCAAGGGCUUCUAGCACAAACUCUGCCUUUAGAGUUUGCAGCUCACAAGUUUCAGCCUGGAAACUGGGUCCUGGUCAAAUCCUGGAAAGAAACUAAGCUUCAGACAGAUUGGGAAGGAGCAUUUCAAGUUCUGCUGAUCACCGAGACAGCGGUACGACCAGCUGAGAAAGGGUGGACUCAUUACACAUGGAUUAAAGAGCAAAUCGAACCUCCAAAGGACAAUGAAGAGUGGCAAGUACCGACAACCGAUGACCCCCUUCAACUAAAGAUACAGAGAUGAAAAUGAAAUGAAACUUUUGGGGACUAUUAAUCCUGUAUUAUGUAGAAUUUACAAAUGGGUUACUUAAAAUAAACAUCACUGAAACUAAAGGUUCCCUAACAAUUUGAGUAGAUGAUUGCCAGAUCCUUAACUGUGGGGAUGUACAGAGCUAAAGAGAAUUGAGUUAUGAAAACAAACACGUGUCCAAGGGGACUGAGUCUAAGGAUGAUUUAAAUAAGUGCACAGUUUUUGUUGUUGUCUCUCAUUGCCCCUCCUGGUACAGUGUUAUCUGGACCACAGAGUUUAGGGGAUGGACAGUGAGCAAUGAACGGUUAUAGAGUUGAAAAGAAAAAUUACCCUAUCUAAAGGAUGAUCUCUCCGGGGAUGUGAGUCCCUGCAGUGCAACCCUUUGCUAAUUACAAUACAGGGAGCAGAUGAUUCAGUAAGUGGGGUUUAUGGAUCACGAAUAGACAUUAGUGGAAAGAUGCCCUGGGAAAGUUCAAAAUAUAUGGAGAUACAAAUGCCUGGGUAGAAUGGAUCAAAUAUAUGGUGCAAAGCCUAAACGAGCAAUUGCUAUGCCUGUGCACCAGGAAGGCCUGUGGCCCAAGUGGUACCCUUCCCUCUGGGAUGGAGCGAAGAUUGACAGGGGAUGGAGUGCAUCUUAGCCUUAUACCAAGACUCUACAGCAUGGGGAAAUAAGUCAUGUCAUACUCUUUCCCUGCUAUUUCCAGCUUUGAAGGGAAAAAUAUCAAAAUUCCCCUGGCAUUUUCAGGAAUAAUUGGAAAUCAUACUGCCUGUCUCUCACGAUGGGGCAGGAAUGAUAUCAGGUUCCUAGGAACAUGAGUAGGUGUGUAGAGACACGGGAAGUUGGUCCUCAUAUGUCCUCAAAUGCUUCUUGAGAGUAUCUUUGGUGGUACAUGACACUUUGGAAGAUGUCACUUCAUUUUAUCCCCCACUGGGAAGGUACCUGUGACAUUGUACAAUUGGUGAUUCCUUUUACCCUGGCAUUUGAACACUGUGAUUCAUCAGGGCAACAGAAAAAGGAGUUUAGGGUUUUUCUUUGAUGACAGAGUUUAUUUCAAUUUGAUUGGGGUCCCCAGAGGGGUCCCCAAAGAACACAAGGCAAGAAAUCAAGUAGCUGCGGGUUUUGAGUCCUUUUUGUUUUGGUAGGUAACUAUAAACAAGAAUGUAGACUGGAUAAAUAACAUUUAUUUAUAAGUUAUACUAGACAAGCAGUUAAAGGAAUCGCCAAACAAUUAGACGCUACUAGUAGAAUGGCAUGGGAAAAUAACAUGGUCCUAGAUAUGAUGUUGGCAGAAAAAGGUGAUGUAUGUGUAACCACAGCUUUGCAAGGACUCACAACUUUAGCAGAAGAAUUGGCUGAGAAUUCAGGUAUAGAAAGACCACUCAUGGGAUUGUUAGAAUCUUGGUUUGGAAAAUGGAAAAAAAUUAUAGUAUCUGGUUUUACUUCUUUAAUCAUAGUAUCAGAAGCACUAAUUUCUAUAGCAUGCUGCAUCAUAUGGUGUGUCCGAGGACUUGUUCAACACCUUAUUGAGAGAGCUCUAUCAAAGCAAAUGUCUUUAGGGCCACUGCCAUACUCAGAUAAAAUGAUGCUGCUAAAAGAACAAGAAGAAAGAAGAAACAGCAAAUGUAUAACUCCAGAAGAAAAAUGUGAAAUCCUGUUGUCUAGGCUUGAAGACACCUAUAGAACUGUAUAAUAAGAAAAUGCAAAACCAAGAAAAGUAUAAAAUAAGGAGAGGAGGAAACUGUAAGGAACAUUUAACAAAGAACUGUUGUUUUUACAUAACUGAGGACCUGGCGCCUGACCCCAGCAGAGGGGAAGGACCGAGAGACAUCGGACUAUGAAUUCUUAAUGUAACACACAGUCUCUUCCCAGAAUAUGUACUGACACCUGUAUACAUACCGAUACCUGUAUUGAUAAGUUCAUUUAGGGGGAAGUGUAGCCAAAGGACCAGGAAUCCAUAUCUUAAAUAGAUUGAUAAGGGGAAGGGUAUUGUGUGCGUCAGGAUAGUCUGUAAAUCCUGAAGUACCCAACCAAUGGGGAACAGGGGAGGGAAAUUGCAUCUGGGAUUUUGGGGAGAUAUAAGCGGGGUUUUUUUGCCCUAUUCGGUGUGCCUACCUUUAGGUAGAACACCCGGUCUUGCAAAAUCGUUAUUAAAAUAUGCUUUGCCGAGAGA